rnacentral:rRNA from 1 species
UACAGAGGUCUCAAGCGUUGUUCGGAUUCAUUGGGCGUAAAGGGCGCGUAGGCGGCCGAUCAAGUCAGGCGUGAAAGCCCCGGGCUCAACCUGGGAACAGCGCUUGGGACUGGUUGGCUUGAGUUCGGGAGAGGAGAGUGGAAUUCCCAGUGUAGAGGUGAAAUUCGUAGAUAUUGGGAAGAACACCGGUGGCGAAGGCGGCUCUCUGGACCGAGACUGACGCUGAGGCGCGAAAGCGUGGGGAGCAAACAGG